rnacentral:rRNA from 1 species
UACGUAGGGUGCAAGCGUAUUCGAAUGACUGGGCGUAAAGCGUGCGCAGGCGGUUUUGUAAGUCUGUCGUGAAAUCCCCGGGCUCAACCUGGGAAUUGCGAUGGAGACUGCAAGGCUAGAAUCUGGCAGAGGGGGGUAGAAUUCCACGUGUAGCAGUGAAAUGCGUAGAGAUGUGGAGGAACACCGAUGGCGAAGGCAGCCCCCUGGGUCAAGAUUGACGCUCAUGCACGAAAGCGUGGGGAGCAAACAGG